AUGAACGCUAGCGGCAGGCUUAACACAUGCAAGUCGAGGGGCAGCAUAAUGGAUAGCAAUAUCUAUGGUGGCGACCGGCGCACGGGUGCGUAACGCGUAUGCAACCUACCUUUAACAGGGGGAUAACACUGAGAAAUUGGUACUAAUACCCCAUAAUAUCAUAGAAGGCAUCUUUUAUGGUUGAAAAUUCCGAUGGUUAGAGAUGGGCAUGCGUUGUAUUAGCUAGUUGGUGGGGUAACGGCUCACCAAGGCGACGAUACAUAGGGGGACUGAGAGGUUAACCCCCCACACUGGUACUGAGACACGGACCAGACUCCUACGGGAGGCAGCAGUGAGGAAUAUUGGUCAAUGGACGCAAGUCUGAACCAGCCAUGCCGCGUGCAGGAUGACGGCUCUAUGAGUUGUAAACUGCUUUUGUACGAGGGUAAACGCAGAUACGUGUAUCUGUCUGAAAGUAUCGUACGAAUAAGGAUCGGCUAACUCCGUGCCAGCAGCCGCGGUAAUACGGAGGAUUCAAGCGUUAUCCGGAUUUAUUGGGUUUAAAGGGUGCGUAGGCGGUUUGAUAAGUUAGAGGUGAAAUUUCGGGGCUCAACCCUGAACGUGCCUCUAAUACUGUUGAGCUAGAGAGUAGUUGCGGUAGGCGGAAUGUAUGGUGUAGCGGUGAAAUGCUUAGAGAUCAUACAGAACACCGAUUGCGAAGGCAGCUUACCAAACUAUAUCUGACGUUGAGGCACGAAAGCGUGGGGAGCAAACAGGAUUAGAUACCCUGGUAGUCCACGCAGUAAACGAUGAUAACUCGUUGUCGGCGAUACACAGUCGGUGACUAAGCGAAAGCGAUAAGUUAUCCACCUGGGGAGUACGUUCGCAAGAAUGAAACUCAAAGGAAUUGACGGGGGCCCGCACAAGCGGAGGAACAUGUGGUUUAAUUCGAUGAUACGCGAGGAACCUUACCCGGGCUUGAAUUGCAACUGAAUGAUGUGGAGACAUGUCAGCCGCAAGGCAGUUGUGAAGGUGCUGCAUGGUUGUCGUCAGCUCGUGCCGUGAGGUGUCGGCUUAAGUGCCAUAACGAGCGCAACCCCUGCCGCCAGUUGCCAUCAGGUGAAGCUGGGCACUCUGGCGGGACUGCCGGUGUAAGCCGAGAGGAAGGUGGGGAUGACGUCAAAUCAGCACGGCCCUUACGUCCGGGGCUACACACGUGUUACAAUGGUAGGUACAGAGGGCAGCUACCCAGCGAUGGGAUGCGAAUCUCGAAAGCCUAUCUCAGUUCGGAUUGGAGGCUGAAACCCGCCUCCAUGAAGUUGGAUUCGCUAGUAAUCGCGCAUCAGCCAUGGCGCGGUGAAUACGUUCCCGGGCCUUGUACACACCGCCCGUCAAGCCAUGGGAGCCGGGGGUGCCUGAAGUUCGUGACCGCAAGGAGCGACCUAGGGCAAAACUGGUGACUGGGGCU
rnacentral:rRNA from 1 species